UGGGGCAUUUUAAGCGGGGGUGAACUUCCUGGACACAAGGUCAUUGGCGACAUUGCUGUCACUAGGAACUCCACAGCUGGAGUUGGACUAAUUAGCCCUCCUCAUCAUCAUAAUAUCUACUCAAUUGAGGAUCUUGCACAGUUGAUUCAUGAUCUUAAGAAUGCAAACCCUGGGGCACGUGUUAGUGUCAAGUUGGUUUCUGAAGCUGGUGUUGGGGUUAUAGACAGCAGCGUUGUCAAGGGACAUGCUGAUCGUGUCUUGAUCUCCGGUCAUGAUGGAGGGACUGGUGCCUCAAGAUGGACUGGCAUCAAGAGUGCUGGGCUUCCAUGGGAACUUGGUCUUGCAGAGACGCAUCAAACUUUAGUGGCUAACGACCUCCGUGGUCGAACAGUGCUGCAAACAGAUGGUCAAUUGAAAACUGGAAGAGAUGUAGCCAUUGCUGCUCUUCUUAGUGCAGAGGAGUUUGGUUUCAGCACUGCUCCCUCAUAACACUUGGCUGCAUAAUGAUGAGAAAAUGCCACAAAAACACUUGCCCUGUGGGGAUUGCCACUCAAGAUCCAAUUCUUCGGGAGAAGUUUGCUGGAGAACCAGAACAUGUCAUAAAUUUCUUUUUCAUGCUGGCAGAGGAAGUGAGAGAAAUUAUGUCUCAACUUGGUUUCAGAACACUUACUGAAAUGGUUGGCCGUUCAGACAUGCUUGAAAUGGACAGUGAUUUAGUCAAGAACAAUGACAAAUUGAAGAA